rnacentral:rRNA from 1 species
GGAUCCAGACUUUGAUCCUGGCUCAGGAUGAACGCUAGCUACAGGCUUAACACAUGCAAGUCGAGGGGCAGCGGUAUCGAAAGCUUGCUUUCGGUAGCCGGCGACCGGCGCACGGGUGAGUAACGCGUAUCGAACCUGCCUCAUACUCGGGAAUAGCCUUGCGAAAGUAAGAUUAAUGCCCGGUGUUUUCAGAGUCCCGCAUGAGGCUUUGGACAAAGAUUUAUCGGUAUGAGAUGGCGAUGCGUCCCAUUAGCUUGUUGGCGGGGUAACGGCCCACCAAGGCAUCGAUGGGUAGGGGUUCUGAGAGGAAGGUCCCCCACAUUGAAACUGAGACACGGUCCAAACUCCUACGGGAGGCAGCAGUGAGGAAUAUUGGUCAAUGGGCGGAAGCCUGAACCAGCCAAGUAGCGUGCAGGAAGACGGCCCUCCGGGUUGUAAACUGCUUUUAGUUGGGAAUAAAACGGGGCUCGUGAGCCCCCUUGCAUGUACCAUCAGAAAAAGGACCGGCUAAUUCCGUGCCAGCAGCCGCGGUAAUACGGAAGGUCCGAGCGUUAUCCGGAUUUAUUGGGUUUAAAGGGAGCGCAGGCGGACCUUUAAGUCAGCUGUGAAAUACGGCGGCUCAACCGUCGAACUGCAGUUGAUACUGGAGGUCUUGAGUGCACACAGGGAUGCUGGAAUUCAUGGUGUAGCGGUGAAAUGCUCAUAUAUCAUGAACAACUCCGAUCGCGAAGGCAGGCAUCC